rnacentral:rRNA from 1 species
AAUCAACGCUGGCGGCGUGCCUCAGACAUGCAAGUCGAACGCGAAAGGCCCCUUCGGGGGCCCGGUAGAGUGGCGCACGGGUGAGUAACACGUAGGUAAUUUGCCUUCGGGUGGGGAAUAACAGCCGGGAAACGGCUGCUAAUACCGCAUAAUGCAGCGGCUCGACAUCGAGACAGUUGUUAAAGCGGGGGAUCGCAAGACCUCGCGCCUGAAGAGAAGCCUGCGGCAGAUAGCUUGUUGGUGAGGUAAUGGCUCACCAAGGCGACGAUCUGUAACCGGCCUGAGAGGGCGGUCGGUCACACUGACACUGACAUACGGGUCAGACUCCUACGGGAGGCAGCAGUCGGG